rnacentral:rRNA from 1 species
UACGGAGGAUCCGAGCGUUAUCCGGAUUUAUUGGAUUUAAAGGGAGCGUAGGUGGAUUGUUAAGUCAGUUGUGAAAGUUUGCGGCUCAACCGUAAAGUUGCAGUUGAAACUGGCAGUCUUGAGUACAGUAGAGGUGGGCGGAAUUCGUGGUGUAGCGGUGAAAUGCUUAGAUAUCACGAAGAACUCCGAUUGCGAAGGCAGCUCACUGGACUGCAACUGACACUGAGGCUCGAAAGUGUGGGUAUCAAACAGG